rnacentral:rRNA from 1 species
CCUACGGGUGACAGCAGUGAGGAAUAUUGGUCAAUGGGCGCGAGCCUGAACCAGCCAAGUAGCGUGAAGGAUGACUGCCCUACGGGUGGUAAACUUCUUUUAUAAAGGAAUAAAGUGAGGCACGUGUGCCGUUUUGUAUGUACUUUAUGAAUAAGGAUCGGCUACCGCCGUGCCAGCAGCCGCGGUAAUACGGAGGUUCCGAGCGUUAUCCGGAUUUAGUGGGUUGAAAGGGAGCGUAGAUGGGUUGUUAAGUCAGUUGUGAAAGUUUGCGGCUCCACCGUAAAAUUGCCAUUGAUACGGGCAGCCUUGAGUACAGUUGAGGUAGGCGGAAUUCGUGGUGUCGCGGUG